rnacentral:misc_RNA from 1 species
AGCUCUUGCCCGUCGUAUCGGCACCGGAGACGAUCAGCUCAACGGUGCCCGCGGAAUAAUAUCCUACUGCUCGCGCCAGCGCGACGGCCUGCUCGCCCAUCGCUUUCCGCAUUUCGGGCGUGACGAAGGGCGACGGUGCUUCCUCGACCACCUUCUGGUGGCGGCGCUGGAUCGAGCAUUCGCGCUCGCCGAGGUAGAGGAUGUUGCCGUGCUGAUCGCCGAGCACCUGGAUCUCGAUGUGGCGCGGCUGCUCGAUGAAUUU